GACGAACGCUGGCGGCGUGCUUAACACAUGCAAGUCGAACGGAAAGGCCCUGCUUUUGUGGGGUGCUCGAGUGGCGAACGGGUGAGUAACACGUGAGUAACCUGCCCUUGACUUUGGGAUAACUUCAGGAAACUGGGGCUAAUACCGGAUAGGAGCUCCUGCUGCAUGGUGGGGGUUGGAAAGCUUCGGCGGUUGGGGAUGGACUCGCGGCUUACCAGCUUGUUGGUGGGGUAGUGGCUUACCAAGGCUUUGACGGGUAGCCGGCCUGAGAGGGUGAACGGCCACAUUGGGACUGAGAUACGGCCCAGACUGCUACGGGAGGCAGCAGUGGGGAAUAUUGCACAAUGGGCGGAAGCCUGAUGCAGAAACGCCGCGUGCGGGAUGACGGCCUUCGGGUUGUAAACCGCUUUCGCCUGUGACGAAGCGUGAGUGACGGUAAUGGGUAAAGAAGCACCGGCUAACUACGUG
rnacentral:rRNA from 1 species